rnacentral:rRNA from 1 species
UACGGGGGGGAGCAAGCGUUGUUCGGAUUUACUGGGCGUAAAGGGCGCGUAGGCGGCUUUAUAAGUCGGGGGGUGAAAGCCUGUGGCUCAACCACAGAAUUGCCCUCGAUACUGUAGAGCUUGAGACCGGAAGAGGUAAGUGGAACUGCGAGUGUAGAGGUGAAAUUCGUAGAUAUUCGCAAGAACACCAGUGGCGAAGGCGGCUUUCUGGACGGUAACUGACGCUGAGACGCGAAAGCGUGGGGAGCAAACAGG